CGGGUGAGUAACGCGUGAGGAACCUGCCUCAAAGAGGGGACGAACAGUUGGAAACGGCUGCUAAUACCGCAUAAGCCCACGGCUCGGCAUCGAGCAGAGGGAAAGGAGCAAUCCGCUUUGAGAUGGCCUCGCGUCCGAUUAGCUAGUUGGUGAGGUAAUGGCCCACCAAGGCAACGAUCGGUAGCCGGACUGAGAGGUUGAACGGCCACAUUGGGACUGAGACACGGCCCAG
rnacentral:rRNA from 1 species